CCUACGGGUGGCAGCAGUGGGGAAUAUUGCACAAUGGGGGAAACCCUGAUGCAGCAACGCCGCGUGAGUGAUGACGGCCUUCGGGUUGUAAAGCUCUGUCUUCAGGGACGAUAAUGACGGUACGUGAGGAGGAAGCCACGGCUAACUACGUGCCAGCAGCCGCGGUAAUGCGUAGGGGGCGAACGUUGUCAGGAUUUACUGGGCGUAAAGUGAGCGUAGGCGGACGUUUAAGUGAGAUGUGAAAUACUCGGGCGCAACUUGAGUGCUGCAUUUCAAAGUGGAAGUCUUGAGUGCAGGACGGGAGAAUGGAAUUCCUAGUGUAGCGGUGAAAUGCGUAGAGAUUAGGAAGAACACCAGUGGCGAAGGCGAUUCUCUGGACUGUAACUGACGCUGAGGCUCGAAAGCGUGGGGAGCAAACAGGAUUAGAUACCCGAGUAGUC
rnacentral:rRNA from 1 species